UACGUAGGGUGCGGGCGUUGCUCGGAAUCACUGGGCGUAAAGCGCACGUAGGCGGACUCUUAAGUCAGGGGUGAAAUCCUGGAGCUCAACUCCAGAACUGCCUUUGAUACUGGGAGUCUUGAGUUCGGAAGAGGUGAGUGGAACUGCGAGUGUAGAGGUGAAAUUCGUAGAUAUUCGCAAGAACACCAGUGGCGAAGGCGGCUCACUGGCCCGGUACUGACACUGAGGUGCGAAAGCGUGGGGAGCAAACAGG
rnacentral:rRNA from 1 species